UUCAGCCAUUAUAUUGAAAAUACUCCCUGCCCAGUGACAUAUUGUUCAACGGCCGCGGUAUCCUGACCGUGCAAAGGUAGCAUAAUCAUUUGCCUUUUAAUUGGAGGCUAGUAUGAAUGGACAAACGAGAAUUUAACUGUCCCCUUUUCACUUAUAAAAAUUAAGCUUCAGGUGAAGACGCCUGAAUAACUUAGAAAGACAAGAAGACCCUAUAGAGUUUUAAUAAUAAUAAUUCUCUUUAAUUCUAUUUAUUUUGAUUGGGGCGAUCAUGGAUUACUAAAAACAUCCAUUACUUUUAUAGAAUCCUUAUUCAUAAAUCAUGACCCUUUUUAAGACCAAACGAAUAAACUACCUUAGGGAUAACAGGCUUAUCUUCCUAAAGAGCCCAAAUUGAAAGGAAGGUUUGGCACCUCGAUGUUGGCUUAGAGAAACCUAUAAAUGCAGAAGUUUAUACUGGUUAGUUUGUUCAACUAUUAAAUCUCU
rnacentral:rRNA from 1 species